rnacentral:rRNA from 1 species
UGCGUAGGCGGUUUACUAAGUCAGAUGUGAAAGCCCCGGGCUUAACCUGGGAACUGCAUUUGAUACUGGUAGGCUAGAGUAUGAUAGAGGGGGGUAGAAUUCCUGGUGUAGCGGUGAAAUGCGUAGAUAUCAGGAGGAAUACCAGUGGCGAAGGCGGCCCCCCUGGAUCAAUACUGACGCUGAGGUACGAAAGCGUGGGUAGCGAACA